CCGUAGCCUGGUAACGGCGGCUCUGCGGGCGGGGGCGGCCCCGGCAGCCGCGGUCAGGUGGCACCGCCGAGACGGAGCCGGCCGAGCACGAUAAAAGUCCCGGCCCGCCGCCGCCACGGCUGCGAGGGAGCGCGGAGCCGCCGCCCGGGAGCCAUGCUCGGCGUUGGACACGCUCCCUGAGCCACCCCAGCCUCAGCAGCCCGGAGCACCGCGGUGCCGUCCGUGACCUAGGGCAGGACUUGGUACAAAACUGACUAAGCAGCGGGAGCUCUCGCUGUCCUGCCGCCACCAGGCCAGACGAUCCCUCCCUUGGCUGCACAUCCCCUUGGCUCUCUUCCCAUAAUGGAAG
rnacentral:lncRNA from 1 species